rnacentral:misc_RNA from 1 species
GAAAUGCGAUAAGUAAUGUGAAUUGCAGAAUUCAGUGAAUCAUCGAAUCUUUGAACGCACCUUGCGCUCCUUGGUAUUCCUUGGAGCAUGCCUGUUUGAGUAUCAUGAAAUCUUCAAAGUAAAUCUUUUGUUAACUCAAUUGGUUUCUACUUUGGUAUUGGAGGUCUUUGCAGCUUCACACCUGCUCCUCUUUGUUCAUUAGCUGGAUCUCAGUGUUAUGCUUGGUUCCACUCGACGUGAUAAGUUAUCUAUCGCUGAGGACACUGUAAAAGGUGGCCAAGGUAAAUGCAGAUGAACCGCUUCUAAUAGUCCAUUGACUUGGACAAUACUUUUAUGAUCUGAUCUCAAAUCAGGUAGGACUACCCGCUGAACUUAAGC